AUACGUAGGGGGCGAGCGUUGUCCGGAAUGAUUGGGCGUAAAGGGCGCGUAGGCGGCCCGGUAAGUCUGGAGUGAAAGUCCUGUUUUUAAGAUGGGAAUUGCUUUGGAUACUGUCGGGCUUGAGUGCAGGAGAGGUAAGUGGAAUUCCCAGUGUAGCGGUGAAAUGCGUAGAGAUUGGGAGGAACACCAGUGGCGAAGGCGACUUACUGGACUGUAACUGACGCUGAGGCGCGAAAGCGUGGGGAGCGAACAGGAUUAGAUACCCUGGUAGUCCACGCGGUAAACGAUGAAUGCCAGGUGUUGCGGGUAUCGACCCCUGCAGUGCCGGAGUAAACACAAUAAGCAUUCCGCCUGGGGAGUACGGCCGCAAGGUUGAAACUCAAAGGAAUUGACGGGG
rnacentral:rRNA from 1 species